UCCACGCCCUAAACGAUGAGAACUAGCUGUUGGAAGCGUAAAUGCUUUCAGUAGCGAAGCUAACGCGUUAAGUUCUCCGCCUGGGGAGUACGACCGCAAGGUUGAAACUCAAAGGAAUUGACGGGGGCCCGCACAAGCGGUGGAGCAUGUGGUUUAAUUCGAUGCAACGCGAAGAACCUUACCAUCCCUUGACAUCCUCAGAAUUUGUCGUAAUGACUUAGUGCCUUUUAGGA
rnacentral:rRNA from 1 species